rnacentral:rRNA from 1 species
UACGUAGGGUGCGAGCGUUAAUCGGAAUUACUGGGCGUAAAGCGUGCGUAGGCGGUUCGUUAAGUUCGUUGUGAAAGCCCCGGGCUCAACCUGGGAACUGCAAUGGAAACUGGCGGGCUUGAGUGUGGCAGAGGGGGGCGGAAUUCCGCGUGUAGCAGUGAAAUGCGUAGAUAUCUGGAGGAACACCGGUGGCGAAGGCGGCUACCUGGCCCAACAUUGACGCUGAGACCCGAAAGCAUGGGGAUCAAACAGG